CUUCCCACCAGGCAGCCUCUGCACUAUGCACACUCCCGCUACUCUGCUGCAUUCAUCCAUUCUCACACUGCUAUGAAGACCAACACUUGGUCAUUUAUAAAGAAAAGAGGUUUAAUUGACUCACAAUUCCACAGGCUGUACAGCAGGCGUGGGUGGGGAGGCCUCAGGAAGCUUAUAAUCAUGGCAGAAGGGUGAAGGGGAAGCAAGAACAUCUUCCCAUGGUGGCAGGAGAGAGAGAGAGGGAAGCAGGAAGUGCUACACACUUUUAAACAAUCAGAUCUUGCGAGAACUCACUCACUAUCAUGAGAACUUGCUGUUCUGCUGCCACAAUCCAAUCGCCUCCCACCAUGUCCAUUCCCCAACGCUGGGGAUUACAAUUCAACAUGAGAUUUGGGUGGAGGCACAAGAGCCAAACCAUAUCACAUGCUUUUAACUAUUAUCCAUGAUGUGUGACACAGUUUGGUACUUAAUCACAUAGUCCUACAGCUUCACUACUGUAAUCACCUUUUGUGUCACUCAAGAAAAUGUUUCUUAAACAUAAGAACUUCUGCUUCUCUUACUUUUUACCAGAGUUAUUAUAGGAGUGUUACAAAUAAUGGUGUACAUGUCUUUGUGUGAGACUUUGCUUGUACUAAAAUCAUUUGUUGCAUCUGAGAUCACUGGUUGAAUGUGGUAAUUGACCCUGUGAGGUAAAUUUGGAGAAAAUAAAUGGUGUGAAAAAGAGCACCCCCUCUCUGACAGCCUUUAAUGCUAAAGGGGCAGCAAUAUACUCAAGCAGAAAAAGCUGGAGGCCCUGGGAGGGGCUCCACCUCCAUGCAACUCCAGCCAGGGCAAAACAGUGAAUAGGGAAACAUGGUUCAGAGAGAGCCAGCGAGUGUCACCAACUACAGCAACUAGACUGUGCAAACGACAGUAAAAAAUACUUUUAUUUUUCUUUUUAUAGACAUCUAAGAAUUUUUAUCCCAGCUACUCAGGGGGCUGAGGCAGGAGAAUCGCUUGAACCCAGAGGUGGAGGUUGCAGUGAGCUGAGAUCACCACUGCACUCUAGUCUAGCCUGGUCAACAGAGCAAGACUCCGCUUCAGAAAAAAAAAAAAAAAGAAAGUGUCCUUACAGCAGACAUACAAAGAGUUGAGGGAAAAAUCUUUAAGAAGUCAAACCAAGUGACAUGGUUUUAUGCUUCUAUUCACAUAAAUUUAUCGAAAUUUCCUAAACUAAGCACACUUUUUAAAGCCUUAAAAUUUUAAAACAAAAGCUGAAAACUUAGGAGAUAAAAUUGUUUCUAAUUCUGGUUUAUUUUGGAUUGUCUCUCAGAAGUUUAAAUAUAUAUAUAGUAUAUAUAAUUAUAUAUAUUAUAUAUAUUAUAUAUAUAAUAUAUAUUAUAUAUAUAAUUAUAUAUAAUUUUAUAUUAU
rnacentral:lncRNA from 10 species